UACAGAGGUCUCAAGCGUUGUUCGGAUUCAUUGGGCGUAAAGGGUGCGUAGGCGGUGAGGUAAGUUGGAUGUGAAAUCCCGGGGCUCAACCCCGGAACUGCAUUCAAUGCUGCUUUGCUAGAGUACUGGAGAGGAGAUUGGAAUUCACGGUGUAGCAGUGAAAUGCGUAGAUAUCGUGAGGAAGACCAGUGGCGAAGGCGAAUCUCUGGACAGUUACUGACGCUGAGGCACGAAGGCCAGGGGAGCAAACGGG
rnacentral:rRNA from 1 species